UACGUAGGUGGCAAGCGUUGUCCGGAUUUAUUGGGUUUAAAGGGUGCGUAGGCGGCCCUGUAAGUCAGUGCUGAAAUACCCCGGCUUAACCGGGGGGGUGGCAUUGAUACUGCAGGGCUUGAGUACAGAUGAGGUAGGCGGAAUUGACGGUGUAGCGGUGAAAUGCAUAGAUAUCGUCAAGAACACCGAUAGCGAAGGCGGCUACCUGGACCAGCACUGACACUGAGGCACGAAAGCGUGGGGAGCAAACAGG
rnacentral:rRNA from 1 species